AGAGCUGCUAUAUAAUCGUGCCCCAGGUCACCCAGCUGGUGAGCCACACACCCACGUGGGCUGGAUCCAGAGGCAUCCUACUGAUUAGUAUGUAGCAGGUGCUCCAUAAAUAUUGGCUGAAUUAAUGGAAGAACAACAAAAAAUCUGUGUCCUGAACCCACCAGCUAAGUAACGGUGAAGCACUUCGCCUCUGUAGAUGAAACAAUCCCUGCACUGCCGUCCAGUCUGAGGCCAGGCUUGUUCUGUGUUCUGAAAACAGCACACACAGCCUGUGACGUCCUGGAGUCGGCUGGUACUGCCUCAUGACAGCUGAUGGUUAAAUUUUCAAGAAUCUUGAGGGCUGAUUGUUAAACACAGUCAUUAUUAAACAUUAAAUUGCUACUUACUGCG